rnacentral:piRNA from 1 species
UGUUAGACUGCAUAACUGGCCUCAGAACC